AGCGAACGCUGGCGGCAGGCCUAACACAUGCAAGUCGAACGAACCUUUCGGGGUUAUUGGCGGACGGGUGAGUAACACGUGGGAACGUGCCUUUAGGUUCGGAAUAACUCAGGGAAACUUGUGCUAAUACCGAAUGUGCCCUUCGGGGGAAAGAUUUAUCGCCUUUAGAGCGGCCCUCGUCUGAUUAGCUAGUUGGUUGAGGUAAUGGCUCACCAAGGCGACGAUCAGUAGCUGGUCUGAGAGGAUGAUCAGCCACAUUGGGACUGAGACACGGCCCAAACUCCUACGGGAGGCAGCAGUGGGGAAUCUUGCGCAAUGGGCGAAAGCAUGACGCAGCCAUGACGCGUGAAUGAUGAAGGUAUUAGGAUUGUAAAAUUCUUUCACCGGGGACGAUAAUGACGGUACCCGGAGAAGAAGCCCCGGCUAACUUCGUG
rnacentral:rRNA from 1 species